ACAUGCAAGUCGAACGAACUCUGGUAUUGAUUGGUGCUUGCAUCAUGAUUUACAUUUGAGUGAGUGGCGAACUGGUNGAGUAACACGUGGGAAACCUGCCCAGAAGCGGGGGAUAACACCUGGAAACAGAUGCUAAUACCGCAUAACAACUUGGACCGCAUGGUCCGAGUUUGAAAGAUGGCUUCGGCUAUCACUUUUGGAUGGUCCCGCGGCGUAUUAGCUAGAUGGUGGGGUAACGGGCUCACCAUGGCAAUGAUACGUAGCCGACCUGAGAGGGUAAUCGGCCACAUUGGGACUGAGACACGGCCCAAACUCCUACGGGAGGCAGCAGUAGGGAAUCUUCCACAAUGGACGAAAGUCUGAUGGAGCAACGCCGCGUGAGUGAAGAAGGGUUUCGGCUCGUAAAACUCUGUUGUUAAAGAAGAACAUAUCUGAGAGUAACUGUUCAGGUAUUGACGGUAUUUAACCAGAAAGCCACGGCUAACUACGUGCCAGCAGCCGCGGUAAUACGUAGGUGGCAAGCGUUGUCCGGAUUUAUUGGGCGUAAAGCGAGCGCAGGCGGUUUUUUAAGUCUGAUGUGAAAGCCUUCGGCUCAACCGAAGAAGUGCAUCGGAAACUGGGAAACUUGAGUGCAGAARAGGACAGUGGAACUCCAUGUGUAGCGGUGAAAUGCGUAGAUAUAUGGAAGAACACCAGUGGCGAAGGCGGCUGUCUGGUCUGUAACUGACGCUGAGGCUCGAAAGUAUGGGUAGCAAACAGGAUUAGAUACCCUGGUAGUCCAUACCGUAAACGAUGAAUGCUAAGUGUUNGGAGGGUUUCCGCCCUUCAGUGCUGCAGCUAACGCAUUAAGCAUUCCGCGUGGGGAGUACGGCCGCAAGGCUGAAACUCAAAGGAAUUGACGGGGGCCCGCACAAGCGGUGGAGCAUGUGGUUUAAUUCGAAGCUACGCGAAGAACCUUACCAGGUCUUGACAUACUAUGCAAAUCUAAGAGAUUAGACGUUCCCUUCGGGGACAUGGAUACAGGUGGUGCAUGGUUGUCGUCAGCUCGUGUCGUGAGAUGUUGGGUUAAGUCCCGCAACGAGCGCAACCCUUAUUAUCAGUUGCCAGCAUUAAGUUGGGCACUCUGGUGAGACUGCCGGUGACAAACCGGAGGAAGGUGGGGAUGACGUCAAAUCAUCAUGCCCCUUAUGACCUGGGCUACACACGUGCUACAAUGGAUGGUACAACGAGUUGCGAACUCGCGAGAGUAAGCUAAUCUCUUAAAGCCAUUCUCAGUUCGGAUUGUAGGCUGCAACUCGCCUACAUGAAGUCGGAAUCGCUAGUAAUCGCGGAUCAGCAUGCCGCGGUGAAUACGUUCCCGGGNCCUUGUACACACCGCCCGUCACACCAUGAGAGUUUGUAACACCCAAAGUCGGUGGGG
rnacentral:rRNA from 2 species